AUUGCCCUAGUAACGGCGAGUGAAGCGGCAGCAGCUCAAAUUUGAAAUCUGGCCCCCGGGUCCGAGUUGUAAUUUGCAGAGGAUGCUUUUGGCGCGGUGCCUCCCGAGUUCCCUGGAACGGGACGCCUGAGAGGGUGAGAGCCCCGUACGGUUGGACACCAAGCCUCUGUAAAGCUCCUUCAACGAGUCGAGUAGUUUGGGAAUGCUGCUCUAAAUGGGAGGUAAAUCUCUUCUAAAGCUAAAUACCGGCCAGAGACCGAUAGCGCACAAGUAGAGUGAUCGAAAGAUGAAAAGUACUUUGAAAAGAGGGUUAAAUAGCACGUGAAAUUGUUGAAAGGGAAGCGUUUGCGACCAGACCUCGUCCUGGCGGAUCAGCCGGUGUUAUUCACCGGUGCACUUUGCCAGGUCGAGGCCAGCAUCGGUCCCGGCGGGGGGAUAAAGGCCCGGGGAACGUAGCUCCCUCGGGAGUGUUAUAGCCCCUCGCGCAAUGCCCUCGCGGGGACCGAGGACCGCGCCCUCGGCAAGGAUGCUGGCGUAAUGGUCGUCAACGACCCGUCUUGAAACACGGACCAAGGAGUCGAACAUUUGUGCGAGUGUUUGGGUGCCAAACCCUCACGCGUAAUGAAAGUGAACGGAGGUGAGAGCCCCUGGGGGUGCAUCAUCGACCGAUCCUGAUGUCUUCGGAUGGAUUUGAGUAGGAGCAUGGAUGUUCGGACCCGAAAGAUGGUGAACUAUGCGUGGAUAGGGUGAAGCCAGAGGAAACUCUGGUGGAGGCUCGCAGCGGUUCUGACGUGCAAAUCGAUCGUCAAAUCUGCGCAUGGGGGCGAAAGACUUAUCGAACCAUCUA
rnacentral:rRNA from 1 species